UACAGAGGAUGCAAGCGUUAUCCGGAAUUAUUGGGCGUAAAGCGUCUGUAGGCGGCUUUUUAAGUCCGCCGUCAAAUCCCAGGGCUCAACUCUGGACAGGCGGUGGAAACUACCAAGCUGGAGUACGGUAGGGGCAGAGGGAAUUUCCGGUGGAGCGGUGAAAUGCGUAGAGAUCGGAAAGAACACCAACGGCGAAAGCGCUCUGCUGGGCCGACACUGACACUGAGAGACGAAAGCUAGGGGAGCGAAUGGG
rnacentral:rRNA from 1 species